GCAGAUACGAUACGACUAGCUGUCCUCACGCCGAAUGAUCCGAAGGAAUCACCUGUCGACAGGUGAUUCAGACCAAGGUAAAUGACUACCUGUCGACAGGUGAUUCAGACCAAGGUAAAUGACUACCUGUCGACAGGUGAUUCAGACCAAGGUAGAUGACUACCUAUGGACAGGUGAUUCAGACCAAGGUAAAUGACUACCUGUCGACAGGUGAUUCAGACCAAGGUAAAUGACUACCUGUCGACAGGUGAUUCAGACCAAGGUAGAUGACUACCUGUCGACAGGUGAUUCAGACCAAGGUAAAUGACUACCUGUCGACAGGUGAUUCAGACCAAGGUAGAUGACUACCUAUGGACAGGUGAUUCAGACCAAGGUAGAUGACUACCUGUGCACGUAUAACUGAGUCACAUACCUCACCUGUGAAAAGGUAGUUAAACUUGGAGGUGUUGAAGAGAUGGAGGCGCUUACACCUUUUCUCAGGUGAUUCAAACGUAGCUUACCUUUUGCACAGGUAACGGAGAGUGCCGCCUGUGUGUCGACAUUCACACAGGGUCACCUAGAGUGGCGUCUGCCUGUUUAUUGCCUUCUUCCUCGCGUACCCCGCCGGAUCAAUCUAUAGAAUUGCUACCCCCACCUGCGUCCAGGUAACUACAACAGGUCUCUAGAAGUACAUCUGUGUGCAGGUGAUUGAUUGAGCCACAGCUCUGGGAGAGCAGGUGUAUGUAUGCAGAUGAUCUGUAAUACUGUGUCAACAUGUUCAUUAUUAAACUCCAUUCACUCACUAA